UUUGUUACUGAUGGUGCUGUC
rnacentral:miRNA from 2 species